UAGGUGGUUUGUCGCGUUGUUCGUGAAAUCUCACGGCUUAACUGUGAGCGUGCGGGCGAUACGGGCAGACUAGAGUACUGCAGGGGAGACUGGAAUUCCUGGUGUAGCGGUGGAAUGCGCAGAUAUCAGGAGGAACACCGGUGGCGAAGGCGGGUCUCUGGGCAGUAACUGACGCUGAGGAGCGAAAGCGUGGGGAGCGAACAGGAUUAGAUACCCUGGUAGUCCACGCCGUAAACGGUGGGUACUAAGUGUGGGUUUACUUCCUUGGGAUCCGUGCCGUAGCUAACGCAUUAAGUACCCCGCCUGGGGAGUACGGACGCAAGGCUAAAUCUCAAAGGAAUUGACGGGGGCCCGCACAAGCGGCGGAGCAUGUGGAUUAAUUCGAUGCAACGCGAAGAACCUUACCUGGGUUUGACAUGCACAGGACGCGUCUAGAGAUAGGCGUUCCCUUGUGGCCUGUGUGCAGGUGGUGCAUGGCUGUCGUCAGCUCGUGUCGUGAGAUGUUGGGUUAAGUCCCGCAACGAGCGCAACCCUUGUCUCAUGUUGCCAGCGGGUAAUGCCGGGGACUCGUGAGAGACUGCCGGGGUCAACUCGGAGGAAGGUGGGGAUGACGUCAAGUCAUCAUGCCCCUUAUGUCCAGGGCUUCACACAUGCUACGAUGGCCGGUACAAAGGGCUGCGAUGCCGUAAGGUUAAGCGAAUCCUUUUAAAGCCGGUCUCAGUUCGGAUUGGGGUCUGCAACUCGACCCCAUGAAGUCGGAGUCGCUAGUAAUCGC
rnacentral:rRNA from 1 species